CAGAGGGAUAGCUCAGUCAGUAAAGCAUGAGACUCUUAAUCUCAAGGUCAGGGGUUUGAACCCCGUGUUGGGUGAAAGA